UACGGGGGGGGCAAGCGUUGUUCGGAAUUACUGGGCGUAAAGGGCUCGUAGGUGGCCAACUAAGUCAGACGUGAAAUCCCUCAGCUUAACUGGGGAACUGCGUCUGAUACUGGAUGGCUUGAGUUUGGGAGAGGGAUGCGGAAUUCCAGGUGUAGCGGUGAAAUGCGUAGAUAUCUGGAGGAACACCGGUGGCGAAGGCGGCAUCCUGGGCCACGACUGACACUGAAAAGCGAAAGCCAGGGGAGCAAACGGG
rnacentral:rRNA from 1 species